AUUGAACGCUGGCGGCAUGCCUUACACAUGCAAGUCGAACGGCAGCGGGGGAGAAGCUUGCUUUUCCUGCCGGCGAGUGGCGAACGGGUGAGUAAUACAUCGGAACGUGCCCUGUAGUGGGGGAUAACUAGUCGAAAGAUUAGCUAAUACCGCAUACGACCUGAGGGUGAAAGUGGGGGACCGCAAGGCCUCAUGCUAUAGGAGCGGCCGAUGUCUGAUUAGCUAGUUGGUGGGGUAAAGGCCUACCAAGGCGACGAUCAGUAGCUGGUCUGAGAGGACGAUCAGCCACGCUGGGACUGAGACACGGCCCAGACUCCUACGGGAGGCAGCAGUGGGGAAUUUUGGACAAUGGGCGAAAGCCUGAUCCAGCAAUGCCGCGUGCGUGGAGAAGGCCUUCGGGUUGUAAAGCACUUUUGUCCGGAAAGAAAUGGCUCUGGUUAAUACCUGGGGUCGAUGACGGUACCGGAAGAAUAAGGACCGGCUAACUACGUGCCAGCCGCCGCGGUAA
rnacentral:rRNA from 1 species